rnacentral:rRNA from 1 species
CCUACGGGGGGCUGCAGUGGGGAAUAUUGCACAAUGGGCGCAAGCCUGAUGCAGCCAUGCCGCGUGUGUGAAGAAGGCCUUCGGGUUGUAAAGCACUUUCAGCGGGGAGGAAGGCGGUGAGGUUAAUAACCUCAUCGAUUGACGUUACCCGCAGAAGAAGCACCGGCUAACUCCGUGCCAGCAGCCGCGGUAAUACGGAGGGUGCAAGCGUUAAUCGGAAUUACUGGGCGUAAAGCGCACGCAGGCGGUCUGUCAAGUCGGAUGUGAAAUCCCCGGGCUCGACCUGGGAACUGCAUUCGAAACUGGCAGGCUAGAGUCUUGUAGAGGGGGGUAGAAUUCCAGGUGUAGCGGUGAAAUGCGUAGAGAUCUGGAGGAAUACCGGUGGCGAAGGCGGCCCCCUGGACAAAGACUGACGCUCAGGUGCGAAAGCGUGGGGAGCAAACAGGAUUAGAUACCCCGGUAGUC